rnacentral:rRNA from 1 species
UUCGACCGCAAGCGAAGGUGCUCGCACCUUUCAGUGAGUGGCGAACGGGUGAGUAAACGUGGACAACCUGCCUCAGGCUGGGGAUAAAUUUGGAAACAGAUGCUAAUACCGAAUGAAACUUAGUGUCGCAUGACACGAAGUUAAAAGGCGCUUUGGCGUCACCUAGAGAUGGAUCCGCGGUGCAUUAGUUAGUUGGUGGGGUAAAGGCCUACCAAGACAAUGAUGCAUAGCCGAGUUGAGAGACUGAUCGGCCACAUUGGGACUGAGACACGGCCCAAACUCCUACGGGAGGCUGCAGUAGGGAAUCUUCCACAAUGGGCGAAAGCCUGAUGGAGCAACGCCGCGUGUGUGAUGAAGGCUUUCGGGUCGUAAAGCACUGUUGUAUGGGAAGAACAGCUAGAAUAGGGAAUGAUUUUAGUUUGACGGUACCAUACCAGAAAGGGACGGCUAAAUACGUGCCAGCAGCCGCGGUAAUACGUAUGUCCCGAGCGUUAUCCGGAUUUAUUGGGCGUAAAGCGAGCGCAGACGGUUGAUUAAGUCUGAUGUGAAAGCCCGGAGCUCAACUCCGGAAUGGCAUUGGAAACUGGUUAACUUGAGUGCAGUAGAGGUAAGUGGAACUCCAUGUGUAGCGGUGGAAUGCGUAGAUAUAUGGAAGAACACCAGUGGCGAAAGCGGCUUACUGGACUGUAACUGACGUUGAGGCUCGAAAGUGUGGGUAGCAAACA